GUUAUUUGCUGUUGCGGGGACAUCCACAGGAACCCUGAAGCCGAGACGGAAAAUAACAACGACUGGCAGAUUACAGAUCCAAAAUGGCGGACGAUGGCGAACAAAUGUUAUGAAUUUUCACAGGCGAAGAAAAACCUAUCUAUACUGCAUUUCUUGCUUGUAAAAUUCCAUGUGCACAUGUUAACUGCAGAAAUAGCCUAUUUACUUUCCUGGAGUUUGGAAUUCGGCGUAAGAUCAUGUGCGAAUAGUGACUUUCUCUCUCUAGAGCUUCUUCUAGGGAACAUAAAGACAAUUUAAGCUCGAAUUUUAUCUCUGAAAGUAGAUAUUUGUGAUUAAUACAAUCUAACCAGAGCAGUACGAGUUCAAAUAAGAACAUUCAGACAAUCCAAAUUUGUUUCAUGAAAUAAUCUAUCGAGCUCAUCAGUGUCGUCCGCCGUCUUGGAUUUUUACGAAACGAAAAUGUCCUCUGGGAACGACCGCAAAGAAAACUAAAUGGUUUACAACGAGUAGUGUAGGCUUCGACUGACAGGCCUGGGAAAAGGGAACAAGAAAACAGUUCCUAAGAAGCCUCCAAAAAGGAGACCUUAGUAGAAUUACAGAAGCAGAUCUAGGGGGAGGGUUUAGGGGGUUUAAACCCCCCCCCCCCCCCUUUGGGCUGCCAGAAAGCCAUAUGUAACAAAAAAAAUACCCCCUCCCCCCUUUUUCACUGAACCAAACCCCCCUUUAGUGAAAAGCUAGAUCCAACCCUGGAUGGGGGGGAUGAAUAGGUUCGCAGAUCGGCGGAUUCAGCCUUGAAAUGCCCACGGAUUAAGGAUUUUGAUGAUUAUUUCAGGGGAUUGGCAGAUUUUGGAAAUACAACGGAUCACGGAUCUGUUGACAAUUUGGGGACAGAUUUUGGAUUUUGACUGCUUUGACGGUUGAAAUCCGGAUUUUAAAUGAAUUUCAAUCGAAUUGUUUAUCUGUCAAAACAUGUGGAUCUAAAAAUGUCUGCGGAUCCACGGAUUUGCCCCGAAAAUGUUGCGGAUCGGCGGAUUUACAUACCCCUAUUCACCCCCCCCCCUGGGUUAUAUUUUAUUGUGCCCUGGCUUACGAAGUGAUGUAUCGUUCUGUGAUUGUUUGUUUUGCUUAGCAUGCUGCCCUUGUCAUUCCAAAAUAUUUAUUUUCAGGGAGCUCAUGACUCGCAUAAGCCCUGGUUUUUCUGUGGGCCUCUCGCCUUGCCAUUUUCCCUGUAGUUAUUGUAUGUAGUCCAACUGUAAUUAUGGCAAACAAAUAAACUGAAUCCAGUGCAAUCAAUUCUUCGCUGUUCUCUAGCUCAUUGGGGAAACUUAGGUGUUGAAUAAUUGUAUUAAAUUCUUGGACAUGCCAAAUGGUUUCUUUGUAAUAGACAUUUUUUAGCUGGAAUAUACGCAGUAAACAUAAA